UGCAAGUCGAGGGGUAACGUGAGUGCUUGCACUUGACGACGACCGGCGCACGGGUGCGUAACGCGUAUACAAUCUACCUUUUGCUGAGGGAUAGCCCAGAGAAAUUUGGAUUAAUACCUCAUGGUAUGUAUAAAUGGCAUCAUUUAUAUAUUAAAGGUUACGGCAAAAGAUGAGUAUGCGUUCUAUUAGCUAGAUGGUAAGGUAACGGCUUACCAUGGCAACGAUAGAUAGGGGCCCUGAGAGGGGGAUCCCCCACACUGGUACUGAGACACGGACCAGACUCCUACGGGAGGCAGCAGUGAGGAAUAUUGGACAAUGGGCGAGAGCCUGAUCCAGCCAUGCCGCGUGCAGGAAGACUGCCCUAUGGGUUGUAAACUGCUUUUAUACAGGAAGAAACACUCCCUCGUGAGGGAGCUUGACGGUACUGUAAGAAUAAGGAUCGGCUAACUCCGUGCCAGCAGCCGCGGUAAUACGGAGGAUCCAAGCGUUAUCCGGAAUCAUUGGGUUUAAAGGGUCCGUAGGUGGAUAAUUAAGUCAGAGGUGAAAUCCUGCAGCUCAACUGUAGAAUUGCCUUUGAUACUGGUUAUCUUGAAUUAUUAUGAAGUAGUUAGAAUAUGUAGUGUAGCGGUGAAAUGCAUAGAUAUUACAUAGAAUACCGAUUGCGAAGGCAGAUUACUAAUAAUAUAUUGACACUGAUGGACGAAAGCGUGGGGAGCGAACAGGAUUAGAUACCCUGGUAGUCCACGCCGUAAACGAUGGUCACUAGCUGUUUGGACUUCGGUCUGAGUGGCUAAGCGAAAGUGAUAAGUGACCCACCUGGGGAGUACGUUCGCAAGAAUGAAACUCAAAGGAAUUGACGGGGGCCCGCACAAGCGGUGGAGCAUG
rnacentral:rRNA from 1 species